CACGUAGGGGGCGAGCGUUGUCCGGAUUUAUUGGGCGUAAAGAGCUCGUAGGCGGCUCAGUAAGUCGGGUGUGAAACCUCCAGGCUCAACCUGGAGACGCCACCCGAUACUGCUGUGGCUAGAGUCCGGUAGAGGAGCGUGGAAUUCCUGGUGUAGCGGUGAAAUGCGCAGAUAUCAGGAGGAACACCAACGGCGAAGGCAGCGCUCUGGGCCGGUACUGACGCUGAGGAGCGAAAGCGUGGGUAGCAAACAGG
rnacentral:rRNA from 1 species